UACAGAGGGUGCAAGCGUUGUUCGGAAUUACUGGGCGUAAAGGAUGCGUAGGCGGACAUUUAAGUCAGAUGUGAAAUACCCGAGCUUAACUUGGGUGCUGCAUUUGAAACUGGGUGUCUAGAGUGCAGGAGAGGUAAGUGGAAUUCCUAGUGUAGCGGUGAAAUGCGUAGAGAUUAGGAAGAACACCAGUGGCGAAGGCGACUUACUGGACUGUAACUGACGCUGAGGCAUGAAAGCGUGGGGAGCAAACAGG
rnacentral:rRNA from 1 species